rnacentral:lncRNA from 1 species
GGGUUACUUUCAAGCUGGUUUUUGAUCCUGAAGAAAUUGGGUCUGCUACUAGCAGCCUGGGUGAUCAGCUGGGCCAGGUGAGUGAGAGAGAGACCACCGGGGUGUGCAGGGCCAGGACCAGGACAGGAAUGCAGGCAAGCAGGGGACCAGAUCAGACAACUGAGGUCCGCAGUGGUGAAGUGUCUUGCCCCAAGUCACAGAGUAGUACCUGGAGAAACAGAAGUAUUACCUAUGCCCUCUGAUUCCAAAUUUAUUGCUCUAUUUUUCAUAACAUGCAAUUAUGUUAGACUAGAAUUAACUAGUCGAUCAUGGUAAAGUAGUUGGGAUUUGAAUAUGUAAGUAAAUUUAUUUACUUUCUCCUUCCUGUGUCUCGUGGAUUGACUUCUCAUAGAAGACAGUUUCUGUUAAGGAAGAAAUUCAGCCCUCUAAUGUCAAGCUCACAUUGACUUUCCUAUGUCUCAGGAGAACAUUUCUAACUGUCAGAAUGUGAACAACUAAUAACCCCAAAGAUUCUUUUUUGACAGCCCCUGGAGCUUAAAAAAAUCAUGUCAGAGACACAUUUCUGGCAUGUCAAGAAGCCACUAUCAUGAUGUAACUCAUUCUAUCCAACGUCAGCAUUUCCAGGGCAAGGUAUAGCAACUAUUACUGCAAUACCGUGGGGCCAUUUGAACAUUUCCAUAUUUGUGUGUAAAGGCAAGUUACAGGAGAUAAGAGAGUUGGGUUUAGAAGCAGAAACACAAAGACUCAAAUUGUGCUUUUGUUACUUAGAAUUCUGUUACCCAGGGCAAGUGACUGAACCCCUGUCUCUUAGUUAUAGUUGCUAAGACUACUAAGCUAGUGAUGCCAAG